UUCGCAAUGCCCGAAAGGGUGACGAAGCGACGCCGCGUGAGUGAAGAAGGCCUUCGGGUUGUAAAACUCUGUCAGGAGUUAUGAAAUGUAAAUUCGAUAAUACCGGGUUUACUUGACAAAGGCUCCAGAGGAAGCCACGGCUAACUCUGUGCCAGCAGCCGCGGUAAUACAGAGGUGGCAAGCGUUGUUCGGAAUUAUUGGGCGUAAAGAGCACGUAGGUGGAUUUGUAAGUCAGAUGUGAAAGCCUUUUGUUCAACGGAAGAAUUGCAUCUGAAACUGCAAACCUUGAGUGUAGGAGGGGAGAGUGGAACUUCUGGUGGAGCGGUGAAAUGCGUAGAUAUCAGAAGGAGCACCGGUGGCGAAGGCGACUCUCUGGUCUACUACUGACACUGAGUGUGCGAAAGCUAGGGGAGCAAACGGGAUUAGAUACCCCGGUAGUCCUAGCCGUAAACGAUGGGCACUAAGUAGAGGGGUUUU
rnacentral:rRNA from 1 species